AACGAACGCUGGCGGCGUGCCUAACACAUGCAAGUCGAACGUGAUCCGCCCUUCGGGGUGGUGAAAGUGGCGCACGGGUGAGUAACGCGUGGAUAAUCUGCCCGAGGAUUUGGGAUAACAUCUCGAAAGGGGUGCUAAUACCGAAUAAGCCCACGGGGUCUACGGAUCUUGCGGGAAAAGGGGGGGACCUUCGGGCCUCCUGUCCUUGGAUGAGUCUGCGUACCAUUAGCUAGUUGGUGGGGUAAUGGCCUACCAAGGCGACGAUGGUUAGCUGGUCUGAGAGGAUGAUCAGCCACACUGGAACUGAGACACGGUCCAGACUCCUACGGGAGGCAGCAGUGGGGAAUUUUGCGCAAUGGGGGAAACCCUGACGCAGCAACGCCGCGUGGGUGAUGAAGGCCUUCGGGUCGUAAAGCUCUGUCUGGAGGGAAGAAAUGAUUGGGAGCUAAUACCUCUUGAUCUUGACGGUACCUCUGAAGGAAGCACCGGCUAACUCCGUGCCAGCAGCCGCGGUAAUACGGAGGGUGCAAGCGUUGUUCGGAAUUAUUGGGCGUAAAGCGCGUGUAGGCGGUCUUUUAAGUCUGAUGUGAAAGCCCCGGGCUCAACCUGGGAAGUGCAUUGGAAACUGGGAGGCUUGAGUACGGGAGAGGAGAGUGGAAUUCCUAGUGUAGGAGUGAAAUCCGUAGAUAUUAGGAGGAACACCGGUGGCGAAGGCGGCUCUCUGGACCGAUACUGACGCUGAGACGCGAAAGCGUGGGUAGCAAACAGGAUUAGAUACCCUGGUAGUCCACGCCGUAAACGAUGAGUACUAGGUGUUGCGGGUAUUGACCCCUGCAGUGCCGUAGCUAACGCAUUAAGUACUCCGCCUGGGAAGUACGGUCGCAAGACUAAAACUCAAAGGAAUUGACGGGGGCCCGCACAAGCGGUGGAGCAUGUGGUUUAAUUCGACGCAACGCGCAGAAC
rnacentral:rRNA from 1 species